CCUUUAAGUGUAUACCACUAACUUCUAUAUUAUAAUGAGAACAAUUACUGGGACAUAGCAUACCAGGGUACUCUUUAUAUAGAAAAGAUAGGGAAGGCAAGAAAGGGGGAGGGGUGGCCCUGUAUGUGAAAGAUAGCAUAAAAUCUAGCCUAAUAAAAGUUAGUGAGGCAAACAUAGAGUCCGUUUGGGUUACGUUAGAAUUUGGUAAUCACACAGUAACUCGUGUAGGUGUGAUUUAUAGGCCCCCAGGACAAAUUGAAGAGUUAGAUAAUUUACUAGUUGAGGAAAUAGGUAAAAUGAC